rnacentral:rRNA from 1 species
ACUCCUACGGGAGGCAGCAGUGGGGAAUAUUGCACAAUGGGCGCAAGCCUGAUGCAGCCAUGCCGCGUGUGUGAAGAAGGCCUUCGGGUUGUAAAGCACUUUCAGUUGUGAGGAAGGUGGUGUCGUUAAUAGCGGCAUAUUUGACGUUUAGCAACAUGAAGAAGCACCGGCUAACUCCGUGCCAGCAGCCGCGGUAAUACGGAGGGUGCGAGCGUUAAUCGGAAUUACUGGGCGUAAAGCGCAUGCAGGCGGCUUGUUAAGUCAGAUGUGAAAGCCCGGGGCUUAACCUCGGAAUUGCAUUUGAAACUGGCAGGCUAGAGUCUGUAGAGGGGGGUAGAAUUUCAGGUGUAGCGGUGAAAUGCGUA